rnacentral:rRNA from 1 species
UUGCAGGCUGCAACCCGCCUGCAUGAAGUCGGAAUUGCUAGUAAUCGCGGAUCAGCAUGCCGCGGUGAAUACGUUCCCGGGCCUUGUACACACCGCCCGUCACACCAUGGGAGCCGGUAAUACCCGAAGUCAGUAGUCCAACCACGUGAGGACGCUGCCGAAGGUAGGAUUGGCGACUGGGGUGAAGUCGUAACAAGGUACC